rnacentral:rRNA from 1 species
AUUGAACGCUGGCGGCAGGCCUAACACAUGCAAGUCGAACGGUAACAGGAAGAAGCUUGCUUCUUUGCUGACGAGUGGCGGACGGGUGAGUAAUGUCUGGGAAACUGCCUGAUGGAGGGGGAUAACUACUGGAAACGGUAGCUAAUACCGCAUAAUGUCGCAAGACCAAAGAGGGGGACCUUCGGGCCUCUUGCCAUCGGAUGUGCCCAGAUGGGAUUAGCUAGUAGGUGGGGUAACGGCUCACCUAGGCGACGAUCCCUAGCUGGUCUGAGAGGAUGACCGGCCACACUGGAACUGAGACACGGUCCAGACUCCUACGGGAGGCAGCAGUGGGGAAUAUUGCACAAAGGGCGCAAGCCUGAUGCAGCUAUGCCGCGUGUAUGAAGAAGGCCUUCGGGUUGUAAAGUACUUUCAGCGGGGAGGAAGGGAGUAAAGUUAAUACCUUUGCUCAUUGACGUUACCCGCAGAAGAAGCACCGGCUAACUCCGUG